GAGGGAAAGUGACAGAGGGAAGGGUCAGCUAUUCACCUGGCCCCCGGGGGCCUACAAGGAAGAAGGGGUCAAAAAACAGAAAGAGAAAAAAAUUAAAAAUUUUGGGUUCAAAGGAGCUGGACGAAAACAAGACUGGAUGGGAAGAGCCUUCCAUGGCCAAAUGCCUGUGUGUACAUGCUGAUGGUAUACUAGAUGCAAGAGUUUGUAGAACAGUCUCCGUUCAAGCUACUGUAUCCCACAAGGCUUGCUUUGCCUCCAGGCUAAAGUAAACAUCUGGCAGUUCCUGCAACAGGUCCACAUGACUGGAUAAUACAUGCAGAGGGCCCACUUUUCAGAUCAUAGACGACAUUUUUUUUCCACCCAGAAAACUCUUUGGGGCAAGAGGGACCACCACCCUUGGCAUUGAGGAUUCAGCGAGAAGCAUCAGAGAAUCGGCUUCCUGCGUCUGAGCAUUUUCUUUUCCUUUCCUGGUACUAAACCCCAAAUACCUCUAACACUCAUUUGUUCCAUGGAUCUGAAGUACUUGGGAACUAUAUUCAGGGAAUUGACAGCAGCACAUGCUGCUUUAUGAUGGAUGUUGGCUCCAACCUCGUAAAAAUCUACUAUGUAAAGUAGCUUCAAAUGUUUUCUCCUGACUUCAAGCUGACUUCUAUGUCACGAAUCCAGAGAGCACCAGGACUCGAUGGUGUCUACAAUAGUGGUCACUACACAACUUCCAGCACAACGCUGGGACACACUGCCUGACUUCCUGUGGGAAGAAGAUGGCAGAGCUGGUGUCAUGGGUUGCUUUCCCCACUGCAAAGGCAGUCUUCUGAGAGUUCCUACAAUAAGGAAAAUAGAGAUAUAUGCAAGAGGAAGAUGCUUGGCCUGUGCCCACUCUGCUCCUUCCCAAAGCAGGGCGUGAACUGCAGAGUCCUCUCUACCUCCCACUCCACUUUCCCUUUACCCAGGGCCCCCACUCUACCAAGCAGUAUUCACUAUCAACUUCAAACUCUUGCUUCACAGAUGGAGAACUGCCUCAGAAGGACACACUCCUGCCCCUUACUUACCCAAUGCUCUCUGCACCUCUGGAACCACUCUACGGACCUGGUUGAGAUCACCAGCCAUCCCUCUGCAUAUCUGGAUCCUGGCCUUGGACAGAAUCUAGUGCUUGGUAGGGACACAAAACUGUGCAUAGCACCCAGGCCUUCAAAGGCGGGCAUCUAACUGCUAGUUGGUGAUCUGGGCAAACUCAUUACCAAAACCUAGAUUUCCUCCCUUGAAAGUAGACAUGAUAAUACAAUCACUACUUUAUCCUGGCCGCCAUACACAGUAACACUACUGAUUGCCUGUGUCAAGAAGUACCUUAAAAGUCAUUAACACAUCCAGUUCACAAUACCCAGGCAAGACAAACUCUUACUCUGUAACAGACAAGGAGGGGGGCUCACAGAGGUUAAGAGAUGCAUCUAAGGUCACAAAAGGUGGAAAGCUGUAGAGUCUGUCGAGUCUUACCCAGAAAGUCUGGCUUCACAGUCCCUGGCUCAGCUUACUGUGAAAAAUGAAUCUCUCUCUAACCCAUGUAAAGUUCUUCCUGCAUUGCCUGAAACACAGUAGAAGCUCAAUAAAUAGAGGCUAGCAUAUGCCAGGAUGCAGGUGCCUGAGUGAAGCGGACACCCGUCAUGACAGGGCUCUUGUAUGGAGGCUCAUUUCCCUCCAACUCCAGUAGCCUUAAAUCUAGUGAAUGCACUGUCUAUCUGGAUAGCCCAGCAGGCCCCCACACUGUGCCCAGAGGUCAGUGAACAACUGUAUAACACAUAACAGAGCAGAGCACAUCUCAAUUAUUAACUGCCUUACAACCUCGCAACAUGGGUCGCUCACUCCUCCCUGCCUUGUGAGAGCUGAGAAUUUCAGUAUCUCAGAAAAGUAUCGGGUAGAUGGGCAGUCGAGAGGAAGCCUUAAUUCUUAGCAAUAUUCCAUGCCCCUGGCUCAGCUUCCAAAUGAAAAGGAGAUUAUUCCGUUUCAUUAGCUGCUUUAUGCGGUGCUUAGACUGUUCUUCACUUUCGUUUCCACAACAUUUCCAGUAAUUAUGUCCCAUGCACAGUGAUUUCCGGCCAAAGUAAGGCGAGAAGAGGACUUGGUGCUUUACCGAGGCCUUGAGGGGAAGAGGAGGGAGAAGAACCUCCGAUAAUGGCAUAGAUGUCAAGGCAGGCAGAAUCAGUAACAUCCUCGAGCUCUUGUAACUGGGAGAAAUGAUCAUCGUCGAGGAAAGCACCUAGUAGGCACAGCAAUUCCAACACUCAUCCGCACACCCUCGAUAGGGGGAAAGAAGACACCGACAAGCCCCACAAGCCGGACCCCUCCAGGCAAAAAGCAAAAAGCACAGGCGCCAUGUGGCCUAAUUAAAGUCACCACAACAGGUUUACAUCUUGGUGAGUGCAAAGCCAAAAUAAGCACAGCCGAGACGUGAAAGAGCAGGAAAAAAUACAUUGCCAGUAUCAAGUCAUGUGCAGGCAUGAUUCCGAAAGUCACACCUUCCCCAAACAGAGGAAGCAUAGGAUUUUAUUGUGGAGGGGCAAUAUAUAUAUAUUUAUAUUCAUGUAGGGGUCAGCCCAUUCAUGAGUGUGCUUAGUUUAAAAGUUAAAUUCUCAAAAAGAGCAGACAAACAUUUGGAGGAAUGCUUAGCUCAAAGUCAUGGAGUACUUCUGGUAGAUCUGUAAAAAAUUAAAAUGAUAGACAGGGAUGUCUCUGGGCAUGCUCAGUUUGUACCAUAAAGUUUUGUUGGGUUUUUGUUUUUUUUGUUGUUUUUGUUUUGUUUUUUCAAUAGGUCUCAGACCUUCACACAACUGACAUCGUGAUGGGAGUGCCCUUCCUUCAGGUCAUAAAACCCAGCACACAGGCAGCAAUAACACAUGCCAAGGACAAAAACCCAUUUUAUCCAAGUGCAUAGUUGUCGAAAAGUCUCUAGAUGUCUCUAGCCUUGCUCUUUUGCCUUCUGGCCAGCUGUUCUUGCUAAGUGGGGAUAUGGUUUUGUUUUUGAAAACUUUACCCCGAGAAAGGCAGAGGGCUACACUGGGGUCCUGCUGGCCAGCUAAUGAAGACUUUUCCACUGCUUAAAACCUGUGUCCAAAGAGUCUUCUCUGGUGGAUACCCUACAUUAAAGCACUUUGUUUUGAUCUUACCUUUUAAAAUUAUAUCAUUUCCCACUUCUGUUUCCUUCAUCCAACCCCUUUUAUGUAUUUUCCUCCUCAAAACUCAUAGCCUCUUUUCAAUUGUGUGUAUACAUGUGUGUAUACAUACCUACGUAUACCUUCUCAGUUCAU
ensembl:lincRNA Gm10619 predicted gene 10619